rnacentral:piRNA from 1 species
UAGAAAGGGCUGGGUGCCAAGAAAGGCCUGU